GCAUCGGUAGUUCAGUGGUAGAAUUCUCGCCUCCCACGCGAGUGGCUCGGGUUCGAUUCCCGACCGAUGCA
rfam:Strigamia maritima strain Brora ctg7180001230962, whole genome shotgun sequence.